UACCUGCAGCUCAAGUGGUGGCCGCUAUUAUUGGGCCUAAAACGUUCGUAGCCGGCUGAGUAAAUGCUUGGGUAAAUCGUGCCGCUUAACGGUACGAAUUCCGGGUAGACUGCUCAGCUUGAGACCGGGAGAAGCUAGAGGUACUCCUGGGGUAGAGGUGAAAUUCUGUAAUCCGUGGGGGGACCACCAGUGGCGAAGGCGUCUAGCUAGAACGGGUCUGACGGUGAGGGACGAAACCCUGGGGCGCAAACCGGAUUAGAUACCCGGGUAGUCCAGGGCGCAAACGCUGCUUGCUUGAUGUUAGCUGGGCUCCGGGCUCAGCUAGUGUCGGAGAGAAGUUGUUAAGCAAGCUGCCUGGGAAGUACGAUCGCAAGAUUGAAACUUAAAGGAAUUGGCGGGGAGCACAGCAACGGGUGGAGCGUGCGGUUU
rnacentral:rRNA from 1 species